rnacentral:rRNA from 1 species
UAGAGCGGCGGACGGGUGAGUAACACGUGGACAAUCCGUGACCCCCCGGCCCGGGAUAGCCCAGGGAAACCUGGAUUAAUACCGGAUGAGACGGGACCCGCGAUGGCGGGACCCGGGAAAGGCGCUGCGGCGCCGCCGGGGGAUGAGUCUGCGUCCCAUUAGCUAGACGCGGGGUAACGGCCCACCGUGGCGACGAUGGGUAGCCGGCCUGACGAGGGUGGACGGCCACAUUGGAACUGAGACACGGUCCAGACUCCUACGGGAGGCAGCAGCUAAGAAUCUUCCGCAAUGGGCGAAAGCCUGACGGAGCGAACCGCCGCGUGAACGAAGAAGGCCGUGAGGUUGUAAAGUUCUUUUCGGGAGGGGGAACAACCGUGGCAGGGAAUGGCCGCGGGAUGACGUGAAUCCCGGAAUAAGCCCCGGCUAACUACGUGCCAGCCGCGGC